GGCAGAAAGUGACAUAGCAAGGAGACUCAUAUUUAAAGAAGGAGAAACAGGAAGCGUCCCUCUUUUCCCCUCCGCUCCUGCUCUAGCAGCACAAUGUGUUCCACCAGCAAGGAGGGACGCCAAUAAGGUGUCUGAUAAGAUCACCCUGUCACCCUCCACUCCAAAAGGAAAGUGAAUGAGCACCAAGAGGACAGCCAUAGAAGACCUUGUUCUUCCCAGUUCUCAGCAUAGUGGGAUGCUAUGACAAUUGAUGCUGGUUAGCUGGGGCUGAAGAAUCAGCUGUGCCUAAGAAAAGACCAGCACCAUUGAAGACUGCAAAUUUGAAAGUGUUUCAUCAAAGUCAAUGCACAGAGGCUGCGGUCAAAAGAGAGUCAAGGCUGGCAGCCAAACAUGGUGAAGAUGUAUUUCAGUCUCAGUGGAGAACAGUGCAUCUUAAAGAUGGGAGGACCUUGGAAAGAUCACCAAGGACAGCAGCAGGUGUGAAGAGCCCGAAGUUAAGAGAUUAUGGAGUUUCAGAGAGAUUCUAGAUAUUUUAGAAAUACGCUAAAUGUUGAAAAAUUUGGAUGUUUUCCCUAAUAUACAAAUGGACUUUGGAAGCCCAUUCCACAUAGAGGGAUACUCUCUCAGCCUAUACACACAAGGGAGGACCUAGGCCAUACUCCAAAUGAUAUGACAGACCUCGAAGAUCCCCAUGGAAGGCCUCACCCUUCCGUGGUGAGCAGAAGGGGGAUAGGAACUGGGAUUGACAUGUAAAACAAGCUUGUUUCUAAUUUAAAUAAAAAAAUACAAAAAAUAAAGAGACUGAACUUUUAAAGACUG
rnacentral:lncRNA from 1 species